UAUACCGCUCAUUGAAUACGCCUUCUUUCCUCCAGCGCCUCAUCUAACUGGAUUUAUCCUUAUCCUAUGGAAGCUCCUUUCAUACCGAAAAACCGAUUUUCGACCUCAAAGCGAAGCUCAAGAUUAGGACUUAGUUUUUUCUUCCUAGGUAAAGUGAAGCUUUCAUCGGUGACCAUCCUGGUACCAUAUUCUACUAUACGAUUAUGCUAAAUCAGGUUUUCUAACCACCUGAUGGUAAAUGGGUUCCAGCAAUCCAAAAACAACUUCAAGCCCUUAAAUAUUUCUUUUGGUUAUCUAUCUAUCGGAUUAGGUUUUUUGGUUGUUUUGCUUUUCUCAAUCUGAAACUCCUUAUUCUGCUUUUCGUUAUUGGUACCAAGGUCUCAUUGGAGAAUCAUGAACCAUAGGUGAGUAAGAAACCCACUCGAAGUUUCCGGUUAGUUCUUCAUCUUUCCUACAAAACUUUAUCAAACCCUAGGAGCGCUCAUAUCAUAUAAGAGCGAAGAAGAAGCCUCGUCAACAUCAACAAUCACACAAACCGACUAAUCAACUAAUUCAUAACUUCUGUAAAAUGUCCUUGCCUCUUAAAAUCAAGUAAUCAAGCAGUUGUCACCGAUCAUCGCAGGGUGUUGCAAGUUUGUAGUUGUAUUACUUUUUUUCUUCAAUUCUAUAUUAAGAUUAACGGGUUUGAAUCUGUUUUCUGUUUAAUAUUUGGAAUACCCCAAAGACUAUUGACCACCUAUCACACACCGAUUGACGUGUUGUGUUUACUUUGAUGUUAAUGGGAAGGUAUUGAAGACUUCCUUGGUUUGCUAUCGCUAUCUGAUACAUAUCAGUUCGGUGAUUAAAUAAUCGCAGAAAGAAUUUAAGAGGAGCAAUCGAAUUUAAUUUCUUUAUGGAUUUGCAAAAUUUGGGGAAGAAAGCAUCAAAACGAUCUACGGUAACAAUCUAUCUGUGGAUUUAUGAAGGUGACCGGUUUACCUUUAUCUACUUUAUUUUCUUCAUCUUUAUACAUGGAAAACCAAAACCCUGAAAUAUAAUCUUAAAAAUAAAUCAAAAAUAUUUCAAAAAAAAACUAUGGAUGGCUUAACAUUGGUUUACAGGAGUUUACUAGAAAAAUGUGAAUAAAAUUAAGAAGACAAGGGUAAAAUGGUCAUGUUGUUGACAUAUUGAACUUAACUAGAAUCAUUGUUGGAGGGUUUACUGCCAAGAUCAUGUUUUCAUCCCUGAUUUGGUAGGACAUCUAAGGCCCAGUCACACGUGAACCGGAUAUGGCAAUGUUAAACCAGGCUGCAUGAUCCUUUUUAUUUGCGUCAAGCAUCAGGUUCGCUCCUUACUUUUCUUUUUUCUUCUGAUUCGAUCACUGGUAAGUUUCAUUGCAGCCGAACCGGUAUGCCCCAGGUUCCUCUUCACCCUUCCUCUUAUUAUUAUUAUUAUUGGCAGAAUUGGUGAUUGGUGUUGAGUUGUUUGUGAUAUUUAGGGGGUGUUUGGAUAAAUAAUUUUUAGCUUAUUAGCUUAUUGCUUAUUUGUUUAUUGUGGUGAGAAUAAACAUUUUUUUAAAAUGUGUUUGGAUUAGUUUAUUGCGGUGGAAAUAACCAAUAAGCAAUAAGCAUUUAAGUGUUUGGCAAAAUAAAACAGCUUAUAUGAGUAAAAUGACCAAUAAGCAAUAAGCAAUAAGCAAUAAGCAUUCCCCACCUUGCUUAUUAAAAUCAGCUUAUUUUGCUUAUUCCUACCGCAAGAAGCUGAUUGUUAAAGACUCCUAUCCAAACACUUAAAUUUGCUUAUUGCGGUGGGAUUAAACAAUAAGCAAUAAGCAGCCUAUUUUUUCCCUAUCCAAACACCCCCUUAAAGUUGCAUGAACAGGUGAGCAGGAUGUUGGUCUCAGAAUGAUUACAAAGGUCGUGAAGGUUUGGUUGUGAUGGAGGCAUAAUUUUUUUUUGUCUGUAAUCUGUUCGGUAUCUACCAAACAAUGCUAAUGAAAAUCCACAAUCUUUUUCUCUUUUCAAAUUUUAAUUUGUUAGUUGUAUUUGAUUGCAGGUUGGCAUGGAGACUAGCAAUUUCGGGUACGUAAAAUAAUUUAAAAUUGAAACCGAAUUUGUUUUUUCUAAAGUAAAUUACAGAUUUGGUAUUGUGAUAUCUCAUUUUUUAUGAUUUAGGUCCAAUGGGAUAUUGCAAGGUUUCAUAUUGAUUGUGGUGCAUGGAUUAUUAAAUCUAACUAUUCUUCUGUUAAUGUUUUUAGAAUGACCAUUUUGUCCAUUGGACCAAACCUGAAAAAGAUAGUAUGCAGCAUGGACCAAAUUUGUAUUUUACUCAUGCACUUUUUCUUAGUUAUAAUGUAUUUUAUCUUAAAUGAUCUUGUAUGUUUUAAAAUAACAAUUUACUAUCUUCUAUUAAUAAUAAAGUAUUGAUGAAAUUACAAAUU